GGUGGGGAGAGGACCGGGACUUGGGUCCUUAGCACCUCAGAAUACUUCCAAGAUUAGACUCCUGGGGUUGCUUAUAUGAGGUUAUUUCAUCCAGUUCGUUGCCUCUAGGAACCACUUCUGCUUUUGGCAGCCACAGGCAGCUCUCUGCAGUUUUGACCCAACAGCUAGUGAGGGGAUGACCCUCCACAUGGCGAUGGUUUCUGGAUCCUGAAUCAAGGCUGAGGCCCUCACCCGCCCAGGCCCUUUUGUCUUUGUCCCUCCUUGCUCCCAUUCCUAAGAAUGCUGGCCAGCAGGCCGUGGCUUUCUGAUGGCAAGAUGGCUGGCACGAAACGAUUAGAGAAACCCAAGUUCAGAGCUUGGCAUCUUACCUGAAAGCAUCACGAAGCUUUUUGCCCACUGGGAAUGGAAAGAAGAUGCCAAAAGAUGUAGAAUAUCUGUAUUCAGCAAGGAGCUAGACAGACUGUCUCUGAUCCAACUUAUUCUUUUCUAGCACAUCCUCCACACAGCUAUCAAAGUGAAAUUCCUAAAGCCCGAGUCCUGCCAUGGCACUAUCAGCUCAGUAAACUCCAGAGGUUCCCUAGUACAUCUAGAAUCAGGUUAAAAUUUUUUAUUUGGCCUUUAAAAGUCUUCACAAUCUGACUCCAGGUUCAUAAUACAUUACUCCCUUUCAUGUAUUCUCCUUUUCAACCAAACAGAUCACCUUGCUGCCUCUGGUAUCCCUCUCCCACCUCAGUUCCUUUGCACAGGCUGUCUGCCAUGCCUAGAAGGCUCUUUCUUCUUCCUUCUGCCUCUUCAAAAUCCAGUUGAAGUGCCAUCUUUUUCAAGAAGCCUUGUCUAAUAUUCCAGCUGUUAGUACCUCAUCCCCUGAAGUCACUUUGUCUUUUACUUAUCUUGUCUCCUCCCAGUAGAAUGCAAACUCCCUGAAGGCAAAGAUGGUCUUACUUUUGUAUUUUUGUUCCCAGAGACAAACUGAGUGCCUGGACCAUAUUAAAUGCUUAAUAAAUUUUGCUUAUUGAUUGA